ACCGCGCGCGGCUGCUGCGACUCCGCGCGCGACUCGCGCGCGUGCGCGCGCAACCGCGACGCGCGCGGCGCGAGCGAUGCGCGAGCGACGGCGUCGGCGCGCUGUUGGCGCUGCUGCGACACGCGCCGUGCGCGCACGAGAGCCUCGGCGACGAGAGAAGACGGGACAGGGGAUGGACGGGACGCGGGAUGGCGAGGACGGGGACGAUUCGCGUCGGCGCGGCGCACCAGGCG
rnacentral:lncRNA from 1 species